rnacentral:rRNA from 1 species
CCUACGGGAGGCAGCAGUGGGGAAUCUUCCGCAAUGGACGAAAGUCUGACGGAGCAACGCCGCGUGAGUGAUGAAGGAUUUCGGUCUGUAAAGCUCUGUUGUUUAUGACGAACGUGCAGUGUGUGAACAAUGCAUUGCAAUGACGGUAGUAAACGAGGAAGCCACGGCUAACUACGUGCCAGCAGCCGCGGUAAU